AGGGAGCCUGAGAAACGGCUACCACAUCCAAGGAUGGCAGCAGGCGCGCAAAUUACCCAAUCCCGACACGGGGAGGUAGUGACAAUAAAUAACAAUACGGGGUUCUUUAGGAUCUCGUAAUUGGAAUGAGUACAAUUUAAAUCUCUUAACGAGGAACAAUUGGAGGGCAAGUCUGGUGCCAGCAGCCGCGGUAAUUCCAGCUCCAAUAGCGUAUAUUAAAGUUGUUGCAGUUAAAAAGCUCGUAGUUGAAUUUCGGGGUUAGUAGGUUGGUCAUGCCUCUGGUAUGUACUGGUCUCACUGAUUCCUCCUUCCUUAUGAACCGUAAUGCCAUUAAUUUGGUGUUGCGGGGAAUUUGGACUGUUACUUUGAAAAAAUUAGAGUGUUUAAAGCAAGCUAACGCUUGAAUACAUUAGCAUGGAAUAAUGAAAUAGGACGUUCGAUCUUAUUUUGUUGGUUUCUAGGAUUGACGUAAUGAUUAAUAGGGAUAGUUGGGGGCAUUAGUAUUCAAUUGUCAGAGGUGAAAUUCUUGGAUUUAUUGAAGACUAACUACUGCGAAAGCAUUUGCCAAGGAUGUUUUCAUUAAUCAAGAACGAAAGUUAGGGGAUCGAAGACGAUCAGAUACCGUCGUAGUCUUAACCAUAAACUAUGCCGACUAGGGAUCGGAUGAUGUUAAUUUUUUAAUGACUCAUUCGGCGCCUUACGGGAAACCAAAGUGUUUGGGUUCCGGGGGGGA
rnacentral:rRNA from 1 species